AGAGUUUGAUCCUGGCUCAGGAUAAACGCUGGCGGCGUGCCUAACACAUGCAAGUCGAACGCCCUGGUCUCGCAAGGGACGAGGGAGUGGCGGACGGGUGAGUAGCACAUGGGUACCUACCCCCAGGUGAGGAAUACACCGAGAAAUCGGUGACAAGACCGCAUAUCUUUCUGGCGAAAGAAAGUCACGCAAGUGACGCCUAGGGAUGGGCCUGUGCCUGAUUAGCUGGUUGGUGGGGUAAGCGCUCACCAAGGCGACGAUCAGUAGCUGGUCUGAGAGGAUGAUCAGCCACACUGGGAUUGAGAACGGCCCAGACUCCUACGGGGGGCAGCAGUGAGGAAUUUUCGGCAAUGGAGGCAACUCUGACCGAGCAACGCCGCGUGCAGGAUGACCCUUUUCGGAGCGUAAACUGCUUUUCUUGGGGACGAGCACAGGACGGUACCCAAGCAAGAAGCCCCGGCUAACUACGUGCCAGCAGCCGCGGUAAUACGUAGGGGGCGAGCGUUGUCCGGAGUUACUGGGCGUAAAGGGCCCGCAGGCGGUCCUGCAAGUUCCCUCUGACAGUGCUGGGCUUAACUCAGCAAGGUGGGGGAAAACUGCAGGACUUGAGGCAGAGAGAGGGACAGGGAAUUCCGGGUGGAGUGGUGAAAUGCGUAGAUAUCCGGAGGAACACCAAAGGCGAAGGCACUGUCCUGGCUCUGACCUGACGCUCGGGGGCGAAAGCCAGGGGAGCGAACGGGAUUAGAUACCCCGGUAGUCC
rnacentral:rRNA from 1 species